rnacentral:lncRNA from 1 species
CACGGUCGUAGUUGGUUUUUAUCUUCAAAAAUACACGGAUAAUAUAUUUAAUCAAUCAAUAUUUAUAUACAAGGAGUUUGGAUUGGGUUUACAGAAUAGAGAAUAAUGGACGAAAAAAUAAAUAAAGAAUGAUAUGGGCGAGAAAAAUAAAGAAUAAAGAAAUAUGACCAAAAUAAAUAUAAAGAAUAGUGAAAUAGGGACUGGUAAAAUAUAUCGAAUAGAGAAAUAUACGGCUGCUUAAAUAUAAGGAAUUAAGAAUUAUGGGAUGUUAAACUAUAAAAAAAUUAUAGAGGAAUACAAACAAAUAUGACUGUAUAUAAUUGCAGUAGCAUUUUUUGUUUGUUUGUGCACGUGCAAGAAUUAUGUCCGUGCAGAGAAACAAGAACCGGUUUGAACCGGUAUAAAUGAGAUGAUUCUGGCUCUGUAGGUGGCCGGCUCUUAGCAUACGGUCC